rnacentral:rRNA from 1 species
UUGUCCUACGGGGGGCAGCAGUGGGGGAUAUUGCACAAUGGAGGAAACUCUGACGCAGUGACGCCGCGUGCAGGAAGAAGGUUUUCGGAUUGUAAACUGCUUUAGACAGGGAAGAAACAAGACAGUACCUGUAGAAUAAGCUCCGGCUAACUACGUGCCAGCAGCCGCGGUAAUACGUAGGGAGCAAGCGUUAUCCGGAUUUAUUGGGUGUAAAGGGUGCGUAGACGGGAAAACAAGUUAGUUGUGAAAUCCCUCGGCUUAACUGAGGAACUGCAACUAAAACUAUUUUUCUUGAGAGUUGGAGG